rnacentral:rRNA from 1 species
UACGUAGGGUGCAAGCGUUAAUCGGAAUUACUGGGCGUAAGCGUGCGCAGGCGGCUUUGCAAGACAGAUGUGAAAUCCCCGGGCUCAACCUGGGAACUGCAUUUGUGACUGCAUGGCUGGAGUGCGGCAGAGGGGGAUGGAAUUCCGCGUGUAGCAGUGAAAUGCGUAGAUAUGCGGAGGAACACCGAUGGCGAAGGCAAUCCCCUGGGCCUGCACUGACGCUCAUGCACGAAAGCGUGGGAGCAACAGG